rnacentral:rRNA from 2 species
CCGAAAAUGUACCGGGGCUAAACAUAUUACCGAAGCUGUGGAUUGUCCUUUGGACAAUGGUAGGAGAGCGUUCUAAGGGCGUUGAAGCAUGAUCGCAAGGACAUGUGGAGCGCUUAGAAGUGAGAAUGCCGGUGUGAGUAGCGAAAGACGGGUGAGAAUCCCGUCCACCGAUUGACUAAGGUUUCCAGAGGAAGGCUCGUCCGCUCUGGGUUAGUCGGGUCCUAAGCUGAGGCCGACAGGCGUAGGCGAUGGAUAACAGGUUGAUAUUCCUGUACCACCUAUAAUCGUUUUAAUCGAUGGGGGGGACGCAGUAGGAUAGGCGAAGCGUGCGAUUGGAUUGCACGUCUAAGCAGUAAGGCUGAGUAUUAGGCAAAUCCGGUACUCGUUAAGGCUGAGCUGUGAUGGGGAGAAGACAUUGUGUCUUCGAGUCGUUGAUUUCACACUGCCGAGAAAAGUCUCUAGAUAGAAAAUAGGUGCCCGUACCGCAAACCGACACAGGUAGUCAAGAUGAGAAUUCUAAGGUGAGCGAGCGAACUCUCGUUAAGGAACUCGGCAAAAUGACCCCGUAACUUCGGGAGAAGGGGUGCUCUUUAGGGUUAACGCCCAGAAGAGCCGCAGUGAAUAGGCCCAAGCGACUGUUUAUCAAAAACACAGGUCUCUGCUAAACCGUAAGGUGAUGUAUAGGGGCUGACGCCUGCCCGGUGCUGGAAGGUUAAGAGGAGUGGUUAGCUUCUGCGAAGCUACGAAUCGAAGCCCCAGUAAACGGCGGCCGUAACUAUAACGGUCCUAAGGUAGCGAAAUUCCUUGUCGGGUAAGUUCCGACCCGCACGAAAGGCGUAACGAUUUGGGCACUGUCUCAACGAGAGACUCGGUGAAAUCAUAGUACCUGUGAAGAUGCAGGUUACCCGCGACAGGACGGAAAGACCCCGUGGAGCUUUACUGUAGCCUGAUAUUGAAAUUCGGCACAGCUUGUACAGGAUAGGUAGGAGCCUUUGAAACGUGAGCGCUAGCUUACGUGGAGGCGCUGGUGGGAUACUACCCUAGCUGUGUUGGCUUUCUAACCCGCACCACUUAUCGUGGUGGGAGACAGUGUCAGGCGGGCAGUUUGACUGGGGCGGUCGCCUCCUAAAAGGUAACGGAGGCGCUCAAAGGUUCCCUCAGAAUGGUUGGAAAUCAUUCAUAGAGUGUAAAGGCAUAAGGGAGCUUGACUGCGAGACCUACAAGUCGAGCAGGGUCGAAAGACGGACUUAGUGAUCCGGUGGUUCCGCAUGGAAGGGCCAUCGCUCAACGGAUAAAAGCUACCCCGGGGAUAACAGGCUUAUCUCCCCCAAGAGUUCACAUCGACGGGGAGGUUUGGCACCUCGAUGUCGGCUCAUCGCAUCCUGGGGCUGUAGUCGGUCCCAAGGGUUGGGCUGUUCGCCCAUUAAAGCGGUACGCGAGCUGGGUUCAGAACGUCGUGAGACAGUUCGGUCCCUAUCCGUCGUGGGCGUAGGAAAUUUGAGAGGAGCUGUCCUUAGUACGAGAGGACCGGGAUGGACAUACCUCUGGUGUACCAGUUGUCGUGCCAACGGCAUAGCUGGGUAGCUAUGUGUGGACGGGAUAAGUGCUGAAAGCAUCUAAGCAUGAAGCCCCCCUCAAGAUGAGAUUUCCCAACUUCGGUUAUAAGAUCCCUCAAAGAUGAUGAGGUUAAUAGGUUCGAGGUGGAAGCAUGGUGACAUGUGGAGCUGACGAAUACUAAUCGAUCGAAGACUUAAUCAA